AUGGGAGCUACUGGUGCUGCUCCGACUGCUAGAGGCGAAUGUUCUAUGGGAGCUACCGGUGCUGGUGUUACUGCUAGAGGCGAAUGUUCUAUCGGAGCUUCUGGUGCUGGUGCUACUGCUAGAGGCGUAUGUUCUGUGGGAGCUACUGGUGCUGGUGCUACUGCUAGAGGCGAAUGUUCUAUGGGAGCUACCGGUGCUGGUGUUACUGCUAGAGGCGAAUGUUCUAUGGGAGCUACUGGUGCUGGUGCUACUGCUACUGGUGCUACUGCUACUGGUACUGCUACUGAAAAAGUCAAACGCACGAAAGCAGUAUCGUUUGCGCUAUUGCUCUCCUCAUGGACAGAACGUUUGCAGAGACUAGAGAUAACCUAGUCUUAGAAGCAGAUCGGCCUCCGAGAGAGCGUCCAUUAUUCCAAGCUCUAGAUCCGAGUUCCACCAUAUCCUUUUCGUACUCUCCCUUGAAGUUAUUGGUCAUUCGUACGCUCUACAUCACACAAAGCCUGCCUUGAGCGUCUGCAAUAGCUCCUGUAGCACCAGAGCGUGUGCAGCACAGAGACCGAACGGUCUUCUCAUGCCACUGGGGCAUCGGUUCGAAAACUUGUUCACCAGAACCGUAAACUGGUGUCUUUGUUGUCCCUGUCGCCUUCUUCAUACUGGAAUGCAGGAGACGGCUCUUUCUGACUUAGUGCCGGAAGCAUCAACGUCAUGCUUGUCCGAUGGUUGUAAGCGCUGCGCGACGUCAACCGAACAUUCCGCUGCAUUGCAUGUUUGAUCGGAGCAGCUGGCGCACCGUAUACGCAAGUCGACCCUGGCUUGAUGCCGGAAUUCAUACCCAGAGCGCGCACCGCUCAUGCAAGCAACAAGCAAGUUGCCAGAAAACCCUAAUCAAUGAAUGAUGCGAGCGCUGGGCCCGGAAUACCGCGCAGGCAAAGUGAAUCGCGCCCGGGACACCGAAGCCUCAGGGAGGCGCUCCCUCGAAUCAGUACUGGUGAUGCAGAAAAGCCACCGUACGCGGGUUUUCAUGGUGGUGAGGUUUGUCGCUUUGGAGAGCGGUGGUUCUACCGUCCGACGGGCCCGCACUUCGUUGCCAUGCACAACGACGACAGCACAAACAUCAUGAUAGGCCGAAGCGCCUCGCCCGAACCCGUUUUCCAUGUAAUCCGAAUCGUUGCCGUCUUGCCGCCCCAGUACCGCAAGUCAAGGAGCACCCUGUGUGUGCACGCUCCUCAGUUGGCAGUGUUCCGAAACUUCGGGCUGGAUCACGUCAGGGUAUCGUGAAACCCUCCGGCCUUCGAGCGCGCGACCAUCGCGGCCUUGUGUCCAGUGCCCGUUCCACGCCUGCGAGGGAAUCAGAGAUUUCCCCAGCCGAAUGCUCCAUUCUAGACCAUAAGUCUGUGCGGGAGACGGUCGUUUCCACAAAUACCCUAGAGGGAAGCUGUGGACUCCGCUCUCACGACCGGCUGCGUCCGCGUACCCGCGCCAGUCCGUUUUAAUAGACAGCAUCCCGUCGUGCAUAAAAAUGCGAAAACGGCCCAUUGGAUUAUCCACUGGCUCAGACUAGAUACCUCGCUGUCCUCUGCGCGGCAACAACGUGUCCUACGUGCACGCGCGUGCGAAAGUGACGCAUAUGGCUAUGCACUGCCUCGUGCUCGACGUCUCGUUGUCGUGUCCAUGCGUACGAGCGACUCGUUAAUGCUUGAACACCGAGAACGGCUCGCAUGCCUCUCUUCUCUACAGCAGACUAGACGAUCUGCGCGCUCCGAUCUGUGUUCAGUGAAGAACGUAAUGCCCCACGACCACGGGGGGUAUGCAUAUACGGCGACUUGAAGACGCCUCCCAGCCUUUUUCGACCGGCCGCCUUCCAUCAGUUUCAGUUUAUCUGGGCACAUUUCGAGUCUGGGACGCUGCCCCACAAUGUUGGAUCACGUGAGCUACCAGGGACUGGCCUCCAGCACCGCAAAUCGUCUGAUAUCUGCAGCGGCGUUGAAGUAUCGGUUCACGAACUCUAUGCGCGUAUUGACGCGGGCUGAACGCGCCGCUGCAAGGAUGCCUAAAACU
rnacentral:misc_RNA from 1 species